GACGUAGGGCGCGAGCGUUGUCCGGAUUUAUUGGGCGUAAAGAGCUCGUAGGCGGCUUGUUGCGUCAGCUGUGAAAACCCGCAGCUCAACUGUGGGCUUGCAGCUGAUACAGGCAGGCUUGAGUUCGGUAGGGGAGAGUGGAAUUCCUGGUGUAGCGGUGAAAUGCGCAGAUAUCAGGAAGAACACCCGUGGCUAAGGCGGCUCUCUAGUACGGUACUGACGCUGAGACGCGAAAGCGUGGGGAGCGAACAGG
rnacentral:rRNA from 1 species